GUGCUCGCUUUGGCAGCACAUGUACAAAAUUGGAACGAUACAGAGAUUAGCAUGGCCCCUGCACAAGGAUGAUAACAAAUUCGUGAAGCAUUCCAUAUUUAA
ensembl:snRNA U6 U6 spliceosomal RNA